rnacentral:rRNA from 1 species
CAAUAGCGUAUAUUAAAGUUGUUGCAGUUAAAAAGCUCGUAGUUGGAUUUCUGGUGGGAGCGAUCGGUCUGGCGCUUAGCGCGAGUACUUGCAUCGUCUCCGGCCAUCCUUGGGGAAAGUCUGUCUGGCAUUAAGUUGUCGGGCAGAGGAUCCUCAUCGUUUACUGUGAAAAAAUUAGAGUGUUCAAAGCAGGCUUAUGCCGUUGAAUAUAUUAGCAUGGAAUAAUAAGAUAGGACUUUGGCACUAUUUUGUUGGUUUGCGCACCAAAGUAAUGAUUAAUAGGGACAGUUGGGGGUAUUCGUAUUCCGUUGUCAGAGGUGAAAUUCUUGGAUUUACGGAAGACGAACUACUGCGAAAGCAUUUACCAAGGAUGUUUUCAUUAA